UACGUAGGGGGCGAGCGUUGUCCGGAUUUAUUGGGCGUAAAAGGCUUGUAGGUGGCCACGUCACGUCGGAUGUGAAAUCUCCCGGCUCAACUGGGAGGGGUCAUUCGAUACUGGCGGGCUCGAGGCCGGUAGGGGGAAGCGGAAUUCCCGGUGUAGUGGUGGAAUGCGUAGAUAUCGGGAGGAACACCAGUGGCGAAGGCGGCUUCCUGGACCGGUUCUGACACUGAGGAGCGAAAGCGUGGGGAGCGAUCCGG
rnacentral:rRNA from 1 species